rnacentral:rRNA from 1 species
UGGGGAAUCUUCCGCAAUGGACGAAAGUCUGACGGAGCAACGCCGCGUGUAUGAUGAAGGUCUUCGGAUUGUAAAGUACUGUCAUUGGGGAAGAACGGUUUUCUUGAAAAGAUUGAGAAGACAUGACGGUACCCAAGGAGGAAGCCCCGGCUAACUACGUGCCAGCAGCCGCGGUAAUACGUAGGGGGCAAGCGUUGUCCGGAAUUAUUGGGCGUAAAGGGCGCGUAGGCGGGCCUUUAAGUCCGGUGUGAAAGAUCAGGGCUCAACCCUGAGAGUGCAUCGGAAACUGGAGGCCUUGAGGACAGGAGAGGAAAGUGGAAUUCCACGUGUAGCGGUGAAAUGCGUAGAUAUGUGGAGGAACACCAGUGGCGAAGGCGACUUUCUGGACUGUAACUGACGCUGAGGCGCGAAAGCGUGGGGAGCAAACAGGAUUAGAUACCCUGGUAGUCCACGCCGUAAACGAUGAGUGCUAGGUGUAGAGGGUAUCGACCCCC